AGCAGCCGCGGUAAUUCCAGCUCCAAUAGCGUAUAUUAAAGUUGUUGCAGUUAAAAGCUCGUAGUUGAAUUUCGGGAUCAAAGAAUCGGUCAUGCCUUGGUAUGUACUGGUUUUAUUGGUUCUCACCUUCUAAAGAACCAUGAUGUCAUUCAUUUGAUGUUAUGGGGAAUUAGGACUGUUACCUUGAAAAAUUAGAGUGUUUAAAGCAAGCUUACGCUUGAAUACAUUAGCAUGGAAUAAUGAAAUAGGACAUCAGAUUCUAUUUUGUUGGUUUCUAGGAUCGAUGUAAUGAUUAAUAGGGAUAGUUGGGGGCAUUAGUAUUCAAUUGUCAGAGGUGAGAUUCUUGGAUUUAUUGAAGACUAACUACUGCGAAAGCAUUUGCCAAGGAUGUUUUCAUUAAUCAAGAACGAAAGUUAGGGGAUCGAAGACGAUCAGAUACCGUCGUAGUCUUAACCAUAAACUAUGCCGACUAGGGAUCGGAUGAUGUUAAUUUUUAAUGUACUCU
rnacentral:misc_RNA from 1 species